rnacentral:misc_RNA from 1 species
GUUUUUCACUGUCAAAUCGCGCAUAGUUUUCCACAUUUCUUCAUAUUCACGGCUCUCCGAAGUUCAAACUCAGUUUUCUGUGUUCUCAUCAAAAAUUGAAGGAAAAUUGGGGAUGGUUAACAUGUAAUUCUAAUGUCAAGAGGCACUAUUGUCAAGUAAGGAACCUACUAAAGUAUAGAUUGAAAUGAAUUGCAGCUGCUUUGGUGCCUCAACUCAGCGGCAGAAAAAGGGUGUUGAUCUUGUUCAUCAAGAUACUGCAGGCUGCUCCACUGCAAAGA